GUGCACCAGGCGAGAAUCCUUCGCAAUGCAGGAAACUGCGACGAGGGAACUCCAAGUGCUUACGCUCAGCGUAGGCUGUUCUCAAGCCUAGAAAGCUUGAGGAGUAAGGGCUGGGUAAGACGGGUGCCAUCUGUGGUAGCAGUCAAUAGAUUCGAUUUGUUACUGCAAGGCAUAAGCCGCCGCGGUGAUACCCGCAGCCCAAGUGGUGGCCGCUUUUAUUGGGCCUAAAGCGUCCGUAGCCGGCCCGGUAAAUGCCUGGGUAAAUCGUGGAGCCCAACUUCACGAAUUCCGGGUAGACUGCCGAGCUCGGGACCGGAAGAGGGAGAGGGUACUUCAGGGGUAGGGGUGAAAUCCAUUAAUCCCUGGGGGACCACCGGUAGCGAAGGCGUCUGACCAGACCAGGUCCGACGGUGAGGGACGAAGGCUAGGGUCGCGAACCGGAUUAGAUACCCCCGUAG
rnacentral:rRNA from 1 species